rnacentral:rRNA from 1 species
CGGCACCUCAAGUGGUCAGGAUGAUUAUUGGGCCUAAAGCAUCCGUAGCCGGCGCUGUAAGUUUUCGGUUAAAUCUGUACGCUCAACGUACAGGCUGCCGGGAAUACUGCAGCGCUAGGGAGUGGGAGAGGUAAACGGUACUCGGUAGGAAGGGGUAAAAUCCUUUGAUCUAUUGAUGACCACCUGUGGCGAAGGCGGUCUACCAGAACACGUCCGACGGUGAGGGAUGAAAGCUGGGGGAGCAAACCGGAUUAGAUACCCGAGUAGUCC